rnacentral:rRNA from 1 species
UACAGAGGUCCCGAGCGUUGUUCGGAUUCACUGGGCGUAAAGGGUGCGUAGGUGGUGAGGAAAGUCGGAUGUGAAAUCUCCAAGCUCAACUUGGAAAUGGCAUUGGAAACUACCUUGCUGGAGGUUUGGAGGGGGGACUGGAAUACUUGGUGUAGCAGUGAAAUGCGUAGAUAUCGGGAGGAACACCUGUGGCGAAAGCGGCUCACUGGACCACAACUGACGCUGAGGCACGAAAGCUAGGGGAGCAAACAGG